GGGGAAUAUUGCACAAUGGGCGGAAGCCUGAUGCAGCAACGCCGCGUGCGGGAUGACGGCCUUCGGGUUGUAAACCGCUUUCGCCUGUGACGAAGCGUGAGUGACGGUAAUGGGUAAAGAAGCACCGGCUAACUACGUGCCAGCAGCCGCGGUGAUACGUAGGGUGCGAGCGUUGUCCGGAUUUAUUGGGCGUAAAGGGCUCGUAGGUGGUUGAUCGCGUCGGAAGUGUAAUCUUGGGGCUUAACCCUGAGCGUGCUUUCGAUACGGGUUGACUUGAGGAAGGUAGGGGAGAAUGGAAUUCCUGGUGGAGCGGUGGAAUGCGCAGAUAUCAGGAGGAACACCAGUGGCGAAGGCGGUUCUCUGGGCCUUUCCUGACGCUGAGGAGCGAAAGCGUGGGGAGCGAACA
rnacentral:rRNA from 1 species